rnacentral:tRNA from 1 species
GUGUUUUAGCUUGUCCCGGAUUGUGCAUAAACUCUGCCCUCAGAAGGCAGAGGUCACUGGUUCGAAUCCAGUCGGGUGCACCA